rnacentral:lncRNA from 1 species
GGGGGGACUCCAGCCCCGGCUUAAACCAGUUCUUUACAAAUGGAGCGAGACUUACUGGCAGGGGACCCUGGAUGCUGGGGCGGACACCAGACUGUGAAAUUGGAAGGCAGCAGGGAGAGAGCUCUCCUCAAGCUCUAAAAAAGCAGCGUGGACCUGGAGCCCAGGACCUUGGCUUGGAGGCAGGAUAGGGCCAACCAUCUCCCGCCAGUCAAC